UACGGAGGGUGCGAGCGUUGUCCGGAAUCACUGGGCGUAAAGGGCGCGUAGGCGGCCUGAUAAGUAGGGGGUGAAAUCCUGCGGCUUAACCGCAGGGCUGCCUUCUAAACUGUCAGGCUGGAGCACAGUAGAGGCAGGUGGAAUUCCCGGUGUAGCGGUGGAAUGCGUAGAGAUCGGGAAGAACAUCAGUGGCGAAGGCGGCCUGCCGGGCUGUUGCUGACGCUGAGGCGCGACAGCGUGGGGAGCAAACAGG
rnacentral:rRNA from 1 species